rnacentral:rRNA from 1 species
UGGCGGACGGGUGAGUAACACGUAGCUAACCUACCCUCGAGCGGGGAAUAACCCGGGGAAACCUGAGCUAAUACCGCAUAACAUUCCGAUGGCCCAAGUCAUCGGGAUCAAAGGCCCGCAAGGGUCACUUGAGGAGGGGGCUGCGGCCGAUUAGCUAGUUGGUGGGGUAAUGGCCUACCAAGGCGAUGAUCGGUAGCCGGCCUGAGAGGGCGCACGGCCACACUGGCACUGAAAUACGGGCCAGACUCCUACGGGAGGCAGCAGUGGGGAAUUUUGCACAAUGCCCGAAAGGGUGAUGCAGCAACGCCGCGUGAGGGAUGAAGGCCCUCGGGUCGUAAACCUCUUUCGAUCGGGAAAAACGGACGGGUGAAGAGCCCGUUCUGAUGGUACCGGAUGAAGAAGCCCCGGCUAACUACGUGCCAGCAGCCGCGGUAAUACG